UCGCGCUCACGGAGAAUAUUUUCUCUGCAUGACAGAAAGAACGCAGACGACUUUCUGCUUCAUUCAAUUCUUCCGAUAAGUUUUUGCUUCCUCUUUGCUUCCGUUAGUAACCGAAUUACCGCGAACUAUGAUGGAUUAUCAGAAGAUUGCUUCAGACUUGUCAGGACAGUAACUCAUCACAACCACCUCUGCAAAAUCACUUUCUACUCCAAGAAAACAGCACGUGUCUGAUCUGAGUCUGGAUUUCAGCCGUGCUUUCAACCACCACCACAUCAAUAGACACAGUAGCUGACAGGGAGGGUUCUCCGUUAUCAGAGACCAAGACCACCAAGGGACAGGUGAUAAGAAAGCAGCGCAUUGUAUCCAGAGUCUGCAUCUACAGCCCUGAUCUUUGCCACAAAGUAUCCCGCUUCAGCAGAAUAGGGCAUGCUCUCACUGUUAAUGGAGCCGUGCUCA